rnacentral:lncRNA from 1 species
UCUGCAGCUACUUCUCUAUUCCCCUCAGCUCUGCUCAACACUACUGCUCCGUUUGUUAUUGACCACUGCCUGGAACUCCAGGGUCGCUCCCUCCCUCAGUGUCAUAUUCUCCUGUCACUCUGUUCUCAAUCGAAAAGGGGUGUAAAGAGGCUGAAAUUUCUCUAUGUUGCCCUAUUCAACAAUUUCCACAAAACCACUAACGACAGCUAUUUUGUAUGACAUAUUUUACUUAAGUGAUAUAAGGAAAGGCAGAGGGGUAGCACACAGCAAAGAACUUAAAACAAAUACUAGCUUGGUCUUAAAAGUCCUUUGGAUAUUCCCAUCACCAUCAACUUCUCUAACUUUUGCCUCUUCUGGGUAAUGGGUUCUUUCAUUUUCCCCAAUUCUCAUGAUGUUCUCUAUUUAUAUCCAUUACUGCCUCUUGACUCUUCCUAGUAAGUCUACUCAAGGGAAUUAACAUUUCCUUUUUACAAUGAAAAGCAAUACCUUGACUCACUCUCCUCCUGGCAGGCCAGGCCCUGAGCCUUAUCUUUUCAUCAUAUGCCCAUCAAGGUAUAUUGCUAAAGAGAAGAGAGCUCUCCAAUUUCAGAAGUUCUGCCUAAGCUUUAACGCCUGAUGUCUGGGAGCUCGUCUAAUUCUGCCACUUUAAGGGUCUACUCUGCAGUCCUCAAAGUUCAGAUGAUUCUUCCCCAAACCAUCAAAGACAGCCCUGGCUGUCUCUGAGUUCUUAUGCCCAUGAGGAUGACCUAUGAAUCCCAGAAAGAUACAGAAUUGAGAAUCACCAGAGAACUCUGUUCCAGGAAUCAAGUGAUUAAAGUUACAGUUCCAGUGUCAUCACUAAAUAGCAAGGUGACCUUGGAUGCCUCAUUUUAUCAAAUCUCUCCAUUUUUCAACCUCUAAAAGUAGGAUAAUUUCACAGAUUUGUUAUAAGGAUGAAAAGAGAAAAUGGAUGGGAAAAGUUUGUGAAAGCCUUUGAGAUGUAGGACAAUAAAAAUGGGAAGAGAUCUGCUGGGAUGUUAUCUAGCCCAACCUUCCACCAGGGGCUCACUGAGACUCUGCAUGGAACUUUCACUAA